UGAUAAAGGCGUAAGAACAUGAUUUAGACCAUUGUUUCGCAAUGAAUAUCAGUUGAUGCAACCGUUAUAUUGUACUUGUUUGUUAAACUAUCAAGGUCUCCCAAGUAUCAAAUGAUUAGUAUGCAUAGGUACGAUGUCACAACAUACUUCAUCAUGAUAUUCUCCGAUGGAGAACGACACUAUGACCCGUUCGGUAACUUGAACUUCGCCACAAUCAUUCAACCAUUGUAACCGGUAGGGAUUUGGAUAUUUGGUGCAUGUCAACC
rnacentral:lncRNA from 1 species